rnacentral:rRNA from 1 species
GCGCACGCUGGCGGCAGGCCUCACACCUGCAAGUCGCACGCACCUUUCGGGGUUAGUGGCGGACGGGUGAGUAACACGUGGGAACGUGCCUUUAGGUUCGGAAUAACUCAGGGAAACUUGUGCUAAUACCGAAUGUGCCCUUCGGGGGAAAGAUUUAUCGCCUUUAGAGCGGCCCGCGUCUGAUUAGCUAGUUGGUUGAGGUAAUGGCUCACCAAGGCGACGAUCAGUAGCUGGUCUGAGCGGAUGAUCAGCCACAUUGGGACUGAGACACGGCCCAAACUCCUACGGGAGGCAGCAGUAGGGAAUCGUGCGCAAUGGGCGAAAGCCUGACGCAGCCAUGCCGCGUGAAUGAUGAAGGUCUUAGGAUUGUAAAAUUCUUGCUCCGGGGACGAUAAUGACGGUACCCGGAGAAGAAGCCCCGGCUAACUUCGUG